AGUAACACGUGAGGAACGUGCCCCAGAGACCGGGAUAAGCCGAGGAAACUUGGUCUAAUACCGGAUGUCCCCGCCGGAUCGCCUGGUCUGGUGAGGAAAUGGAUUCCGCUCUGGGAGCGCCCCGCGGCCUAUCAGCUAGUUGGUGAGGUAACGGCCCACCAAGGCGUCGACGGGUAGCUGGUCUGAGAGGAUGAUCAGCCACACUGGGACUGAGACACGGCCCAG
rnacentral:rRNA from 1 species